GCAUCCAAGACAUUGGAAGGGGCCCAUCGCUAGAGAAAGUAAAUGAAGAAUAACACACUAUUAUUUUUUAUAUACGUUAUUAGGAAAAGUCCAAAAAGACCGAUAAAAAUAUGUAUUCAAAUUAAGUGGUUAAGAUGAGCUGGCGCGUGGCGUCCUGUAGUACCUAGCGCACCGAGCAGCCACCCCGGUCGCUCCCUUCCAAAGCCGGCACUGAAUAUACCUAAUUGUAUUAAUUAAUUAAAUGGGUAUGGGAUAGAGCAGAGCAUUUCCUCAGAAUGGCCAAUUUGAGCAAUACGAUUCAUCGGAUUCUGUUAGAAUUGUUGGAGGAUCUAAAGCAUCAAUAAACGAUUUUCGUUAUGUAGUGCAAAUUACUACGGAUUAUCUCUUUUGCGGUAGAUCAAUAUUGUCCAACGCAUGGAUACUUACGGCGAGUCAAUGUUUACUUGAGACAAAUGUAACGGUUCUUGCUGGUGCUCAACAGCGAAGAUGUGUUCUAGUACAAGCUGAAGAACUCUUGAACCAUCCUCAGUUCUCAGAGGCUCCUAACACGACUAACCUAGGUCCCGACUAUGAUGUCGUUUCGAUAAAAUUGUUACUAAAUUUGACCAUUAGUGAUACAAUUAGGAGUGUUCAACUAAUUGAUGCAAAUCAGCAAAUAGCACCAGAAACCAAUGUCACGCUUCCAGGAUGGAGAUCGCAGUCAGAAGGUGUUAAUGCCAGUUAUACUUAAGCUUCAUUUCAUGACAAUAAAAAUAAUUCAACGUACCUAAAAUUAAAACAUUUUCAUAUCGUCGCGAUGUUUUACAUAACCUCAUAUUUUGGAAUUUUGAAAAACUUUUCCUUUAACCUUUUUCGAUUAGAGUCAUGUUUUACAUGACCGCCAUUUAAGUGAUACCUUGUCUUUUCUAUUUUCAAACACUGUAUUAGUAAAUCAAAAUUGAAUAAUACAGACUAUCUUUUAUAAGAGAGAGCAAGUAGUCUUUACCACAUUCACAUCACACACAUCACAUUAACGGUAAACUCCUGGUAUUAGUAGUGGAUCUAGAGGGUCCUUUGCUGAUCGUAGUUCAUUUCGAAUCUUGCAAUAUUGCACAUUGGGAUGACGCAACGCAGCAUAUUGACAAGGAGAAAAGAAUACGAAAAAGUCAUCAGAUUACUUCAACCCGAAAAAUCAGCUAUAGUUCAACACGCGUUUGAGGGAGGCCACACCAUAUAUUUUAAAAAUACAACUGUCCUGGUUAGAACGUCGCGAUUCUACAAUCUGGCUAGAAGGGAAGCUCUGGAAAUUGAACAACAUUCUAAUAACAUAAACAGAGAUGAUGUGCUACCAACCGAAGAGGACAUAGAAACAACAUGGACGUAGUGAACCAUAACACCACUUACCCUAACGAGUUCAUUAUAAGAAGGGUAACCCUGCAUCAGUUACGACUCAGCACCUGCCUGUUCACCACUGAAGAUGCCGUCAGCAAAGAACGGCGAAACGUUUGGAAAAGUAACAUUCCACGGGCAAAAAGCCAGGAAAAAAACACACAGCAUCGAUAAACGCCAGCCGUGAAUGCCUAAGAACUUCAGUAUACUGCGUACUUUUUAGGCCACCCUGUAUAUUAGUACCUAUGCCCAACUAUUUUAUUUUAUUAUAAAAUUAAUAAACACCUUGUACCAAAGAAAGUAGUUUCUUAGAUGUGCGAGUUUGGUUGAGGCAGGUGUUUGUGUGUGGAAGUGAAGUACAAUGUGUGACAAAAGAGUAAGUUUCUCUUUCUAAUUCGAAUAAUUUCAUUCAAGCAAGGUUUUGUUCGUAAGAAUGUUCGAAAAUAUUCCAGAAUUUUGAAUGACAUUUAAGAAUGUGCUUACCAGAAAAGCGUGCAUGCGUGUUUGUGAGUACUAAUGGCUUAAUUUUACUACAUUUAAAAGUUUACUAAUUAUUAGUGCAUUUAUACCUUCUUAAAUUAAGGGAAAGGGUGUAUUUUCCUUUAUUUUACUAUUUUCCACUCUUAGCAGUGCACGUGUCAUAAGGAUUUAAAACAAUUUUUCUGUCAGCGAUUUAGCAGUUUCUUUUUCUUUUUUUUUUGUAAUCAGAAGAAGCCAACGGAUGUAGAAAUAAGUGCAGAGCGAACCAGCAUUAGUCAGUUACAAAUAUAUUAUCCUUCAUCCACAUUUUUUCAUGUCAUCGACUCACUUCUUAUGGGACGAACUGUAUUAAAAAGGCUUAAAAAGCAGGGGCUACGGAAUACACCUAAUAAGUAGAUUUAAAGGAUUGCAUUAAGAUACAUACUGUUAAUAAAUUAGUAUCUAAUUAGAAUAAAUAUGAAAUCAGUCCUGUUUAUCCUGUCUAAUAUCGAAUCGGCGGUGUGCGCUAUUUCAAAUAUAAGCGGAAUGUUAAUGAGCGAAAACGAGAUCUUACAUUACAGUCGCUUUCGUUUCAUCUCCAAUUUUUUUUUGUUUGAUGUCAAUUUCUUCUUAUUAAUGAUUUAUUGUGUCGAAUACAUACGACAAAUAAAUCGUUCCGUAGUUACUAAACAAAUUGUAUUAACGCAUAAAUUUUGCAACAUCUCCAAAGAAGUCGAAGUUAGCUGAAGUACCUAUUUACAUUAAGUAUGGAAUCAGAGGCAAAAGUAAAAGUUUUAUAUUCAAUUAUCUGCCAUCAGCCCCUAGCCGAAAGCGAAGAUGCCGGAGGUGCUGCUUCAGUUGGUUUCUCAACUAGUGUUAUUCAUUAGUAAAUAACUACGUUAAAAAUAGACUUCAUUCAUAUUUUCGUUUGAAAAUGCCUGGAGGUAAAUCUGUUUGAAAAACUGGAAGAGUAUUCAUCUACGGGCUGUAAUAAGAUUGCAACUAGCGGCAUGGCCAAGAGGUUUAGACCAUUUCUUAGCAUUCGGGAGGACGCCGGUUCGAUUUCGAUUCUGUUU